UUGAUAGUUGCCAAUGAUGGAUCUAUAGUUGAAUUGAACCACCAUGAUUAGAUUCAACGGUUUCGUCACUACCACUGAGGCAACAAAUGG